AUUACUGAACUCUGUAAAACAUCCUUCAUCAGACACCAAGGAGAGGCCAACAGAACAGGCUGCCAUGAUCCUGCCAUGGAAUGAAAUGGCUAACUCUGUGUAUUACACUCUGGGUGUUAUUUUUUUUUACAUUUAUUUAUUUUUUCAAUACCUUCUUUUGUUUCAAAUAAGGGAAUGCUUUUAAUUGAAUCCAACACUUGCUAUCAGGACUCCACUGUGUGCAUGUUCUUUAUGUUUGCCAUUUUAAAGGAUUUUUGUUUUCUAUUUGGAAGAAGGAAGAUUAAAACCAUAAAUAUCAUUUACAUGUCUGGAUUUUCUCCCUAAGAUUUGGAAUCCAUCUUUGUUCUAGCUAAGUCAUGGCACACCCAAAGUCUAAAAUAAGUAAAUACAUUUUCUCUCUUUUUUUUUGGAUGGGUGGGAAUCGUGAUUCGCAGUGUAGAACUGCUUCUGGUUUGGUGUUUUAUGAACAAUAAAUGAGAUGAAUUUACCUCUUUUUGCAUAAUUUCUGGUCAUUUGUAAACUCAUGUCCUUUAACUCAAAAAAAAAAAAAAAAAGUGCCAAUUAAAACGUAUUAGUAAUUGUAUUUUAUCAGGGCAUUGCUGCUGAUAAAUGUAAAGCUUUGGGUUGACAUGUUUUAAGGCAUGCCAGAUUGAUAUUUAAUUUGAUUUUCAAAAGAUUACACGAUUUAACAGGAUUUUCUCUUAAACCAGAGUUGUAUUUCCAGAAUCUUCGAUUCACAAGAACCUGCUGAUGUAUGCAAGUGCAUUAUUCAAGCUGUUUUUUUACUCUUUUUGCUUAGAGGAAAGAUAGCAAAACAGGAUUGAUGCAAGAUCACAUUGUUUAUUAAAAGAAAAUAGAUACCAGCUUAAACCCCAGCAAAUCUCCAAGGCUGUGUAUUACGGUAAGUACAUGUGUUUGCCCUUCAGUACAUGGAAAGAAAACAGGGCCUGUUAAAUUAUUGCUUUGAUAAACACCGUCUCCAUAUGAUCUCUGAACAGUUAAGGGAUGAAUGCAUUUCGGACUAUAAGGAUCACCCAUCUUGGAUUUUAUGUCUCAAAACAACAUUUUAUAGGGCAACCUCGUUCACAUUUCUCCUAUUUUAUAUAGAUUGUGAAAGAUCUACAUGUGUACCCCAGAUUAGCCUGCUGCGUAUACAUACAUAUAUAUAUUUGUGAUAGUUUAUCCAUAUACACCCCUACCAACUCAAUAAAAUCUUUUAAUCGUAUGAUGCUUUAAAAGGGGGUCGAAGACAUAACUGACACUUAAGUGAUGGAACCUCUGUUGCUGCUAGAAUUCCAUCUAGGUUUCCGAUCCCUAUGCUAAAAAUAGGUUUUUGUGACCAGUAACCUCACACCCAGAGAUCCUGUGUUGUUGACGUGAAGCUCUGUAAACUUGUAUCCUUUCUGGGCUUCAGAAUAGCAGACCACGUUCUACAUUGUGGAACAAAGGGCCAUCGCUGUUACUGUGUAUACGUGUGCGUUUCUGGUUACAGUUAAACCCUGUCUCUGCAUUCCUUGCUCUGUAGUACAGGCCUGGAAAUCUCACUGCCUUGUGAAUUGCAGCCUGAGAGAUAAUUAUGGAGGGUGAGCCAUAAAACAAGGCCGUGCUUGUCACAGAGUAGAAUGUAAUCAGGCAAAAGGUCGGGCUUGAUGUGUACUUAGCCAUUUGGUAACCUGAAUAUUUAACUCCUUCCAGCCCUUUACUAACCCUUUGAACAGUGUGUUCUAGAUUCGUCAUCCGCUCCAGUUUGUGAAAGUGGUUUAUUUGUUUUCCUGUAUUAAUCUCUUUGACAGGCUAUGUGGACGUUUACUAGGAGACUUGCAUAAUGGGGAAUGCAGAGAACAUUGAUCCUUUUGUAAGACGUGUGAUCCUGUUUAGGAUGUCCACCAUGCACCAUAUUGUGUUAGAGAAAGAAAGUUCAAAUCCUUGCUCCUGAGGCUGUUUUGUGAAGUACAUAUUUGUGAUUACAGCUGGGCUUUAUAUAAAGCUCAUUUAUAUAGCCAUGGUUGUUGAAAAAAAAAUUAAGCAAUUCGUUUGUAAACCAAUGAUCUAUAAAUUCCAGCUUAGGGCUGUAUUUUUUUUUUUUUUCUUCUUUAACUUUUAGUUUUCAGAGUGCUCUUAUAAUCGACUUUUUCGUGUUUGUGGAGGAACUCAGUUGGUAAAUAUGCCAAUUGUAUCAAUCAGUAAAGCAGCCUGUUAUGAUUGUUAGUACACGAUCUUGUCAAGGCAUCCAUGUGAUAGCAAAUUGUACACAGUAAUGGAGCUCCAUGAAAUGAUCUCGUUAAUAAACAUCAAAUCAUGAGUAUUUGGUAACCAAAUUUACCUUAAAAUAGCUAAGGCAGAAAACAAAUAAUCAAACUGCUAAUAUUGAUGCUUUGUUGUCAUUCUUGAUGUUAUUUCCUAGACAUAGUUGGUUGCAUUCUGACCAGAACUCACUGUGACUAGUCCCCUGUAAGAUUGUUAUAUGUAGUCAGUACUUUUAAAGUGAUUAUUGUGUAAUAUUUGUAGUCAUAUGCAAUGAUGAUUCAAACUAAUAUAUAAUAAAAGGUUAGGAUUGACAUACUGUUAUUGAACCCAAUAGUCACCAGUUAAAGUGUUGUGUGUUUGAAAGGAAAAAAAACAUGCCAUGCAGUCUUUAUCUAAGUUCAUACAAGGUUAUUUACUUAAGUGAGAAGUGAGUUUCAAAUUUAAGUCCAAAGUAGCUGAACUGAAAAAUUCUCUAAAUCUGCUAUGCUUCCAGUUCAACUACUUUCCCUUUUAAUUUGGAAUUCACUUUUAAUUCCUGAUAAUUCUCAAUUUAGUGAAUAACAUUGAGGGUCUUCAGUCGUGGUAUAUUGGAAAUUCUCUAGAUAGUCCACUUCUCCAUUGCAUCACUAAGUAAAAUGGUUGCAAGCUGCUAAACUGUUCGUGUUUCACUUUAAAAGAAAACUAAAAAACAAACAUUGAAUUAUUCAGGUAUAAAUAAGGUGCUACCAGUCAACAGUGUUCUAGGGUGAUCUUUUGGUGUUUUGCAAUGCGUUCUUGAGGCCUUAAUACACAUAGGGUUAAUGGAGAAAUAAUGUAAACAUACUGGUUCUACCGGUUUAGGGCUUGUCCUUAUUUUGUCUAAAUGAGCCUUAUCGCAUUGUGUAAGCAGCAUACAUUACAUUGUGCCUCUCCUAGCUGUUGCUGUAUCAGCAGGUUUUCACAUACAACAUGUCCGUAGCAUUGAUCUACGUUUAUUCACUAAAAAUCAUAUGUAUGUAAUAGAAAACCGAGGCAAAGCGAGCUGCUAAAAGAAAAGCUUAGCAUUGCAGCAUUUAAGCAAAAAUAGUUGCUCUGGUAAAAUGUACAUCUCUGCUAUAGUCACAGCUAUACUAUUUUAGCCUCCACUAAAAUUUAGUGAAUAAUUGAUAGGGCUUCUCAUUAAAAUGUGAAUUUCAAAUCCUAGGACAAAUACCCGCAUUUGAAUAAUAAUGUCUGCUAAUCGUUCAAUUUUGGCCUAAAAUGUUACAUUCACUUUGAAUUCCUGACAAUUCCCUUUUUAAUACAUCUGCCUGUUAUGAAAUUUGUAAUUGGAAUUCUUAUUCUGGCAUAAUGAAAAGUAUUUUCCAAUAGAAUCAGGAAUAUAUUAGUAUGAACUAAAAUCUAGUGUAUAUAGUUGAACAUUGCCUCAUCGUUCAAGAUAUACACAAGUAUACGACCAAGAAAGUGUGUACUAACAAGCUGAUCAGAGCUAUGCUUGAUGUAUACAGAGUACCAAUAACUCAUUUUGUAAUGAGGAAAAUUGUGGAGUAAAAAUAGUGACCUGUCAUAAUGCGACAUAAUAAAGUAAGACAUGAGACAAUAAACAUGUCAUAUAUGUCAAAGACAUGUCUGUCUAAUACGAGGCCUGUAGAAGGCGCAAUAAACAUACAGGUCAUAAGAAGUAAAACAAUGGAAAACAUAGCAAAUUAGUAAGUCUUGGAAAUAUUUUUGUCAAGUAAAACAAAAGCCUCUUUCGAAAUUUGAGCUAGAAUGGCCAAAUAUAUCUACAAUGGAGUUGGAUAAUAUUUCCAAAUCUGCUAUUUAUUUAUUUUUUGUACAAAUUCUGCCUUUUGGUUUUCAUAUGAGGACAAUUUGGUGUUUAGUCAAUAAGUACACUAAAUUGUAUUGGAUUGAAAACAAAACUGCAACAUUUAGACAGGGAUAGGCAGGUUGUGAUCAUACAAGUUGGAGAUUUUAGAAAUUGCCAAUGUUGCCCUACAUUUUGCAGUUCGGUUUUCAAUUUACUUCUAUUAUGUUUUAAGAUUUAAAAAAAUUAAACUAUAUUCAGUCUACUUUUCAUAUUUCUCUAAAAUUGCACAAUUUGCAUGGAACUCCGAUAUUUUUUUUUUUUUUUAAACAGGGCUUUUAAUGUGCUGUAAAAUAUUUUUACUCUUUACACAUUAAACAGUUAAACAUUUCAAUGUGGACAGACUGUCCAUGUUGAUUAACAUUCACUGAUUUAUCAGAGGACAAUUUGUAACCUUGUUAUGCUUUGUAAUGCUUGGCUACAUAGUUCAUGAGAUAAGCUACCUCUUGCCUUCUGUUCAUGUCAUGCCACAGCUCUGACCUAGCAAGACUAAGUAAUGUCAGUAUGUCCGUAUAUCGUGUGUAUUUCUAUGAGACAGCAAAAUUGCAAUACUGUUGUAGGAACUGCUUGGGCUAGUUUGUAUACAAUGUUGUGAAAUAUUGAAUCCUGAUUUAUUUAAAUUGUAAUUUAAAUAAAGAAGGAAGGUAUGUAGAAAAGGAUAAAGGUCUAGCUGACUGCCUCAAUUAAUAUUUUUUGUUCAGUAUUUACAGAUGAAAAUGAAGGAAAAAUGAGGCAUUUGUUAUAUGUGAGUUUACAGAGGAAGAGGUUCUAUUUCAACUGUCAAAAGUAAAGACAAAUAAGUCAAUGGGACCUGAUGGAAUACACCCAAAGUUAUUAAAAGAGCUUAGUGGUGUACUAGCAAAACCAUUUACAGAUUUAUUUAACCAAUCAUUGUUAACAGGAGUAGUCCCAGAAGAUUGGAAGUUAGCAAAUGUUGUGCCCAUUCACAAGAUAGGUAGUAGGGAGGAGUCGGGCAACUAUAGGCCAGUAAGCCUUACUUCAGUACUGGGGAAAGUAAUGGAAACCAUGUUAAAGGAUAGGAUUGUUGAACAUCUAAAAACACAUGGAUUUCAAGAUCAGACACAACAUGGGUUAACUUCAGGGAGAUCGUGCCAAACUAUCGUAUUGAUUUUUUUGAUUGGGUAACUAAAAUAAUAGAUCAGGGUGGUGCAGUAGACCUUGCUUACCUAUAUUUCAGUAAGGCUUUUGACACUGUUGCACAUAUAAGGCUCAUCAAUAAACUGCAAUCUUUAAGUUUGGAUUCCAAUAUUGUUGAAUGGGUAAGGCAGUGGCUGAGUGACAGGCAACAGAGGGUUGUAGUCAAUGGAAUAUAUUCGAAGCAUGGGCUUGUCACCAGUGGGGUACCUCAGGGAUCUGUACUUGAACCAAUUCUCUUUAAUAUUUUUUAUUAGUGAUAUUGCAGAAGGUCUUGAUGGUAAGGUAUGUCUUUUUGCUGAUGAUAGUAAGAUAUGUAACAGGGUUGAUGUUCCAGGAUGGAUAAACCAAAUGGCAAAUGAUUUAGGUAAACUAGAAAAAUGGUCAGAGUUGUGGCAACUGACAUUUAAUGUGGAUAAAUGCAAGAUAAUGCAUCUUGGAUGUAAAAACCCAAGGUCAGAGUACAGAAUAUUUGAUAGAGACCUAACCUCAACAUCUGAGGAAAGGGAUUUAGGGGUGAUUAUUUCCGAUGACUUAAAGGUAGGCAGACAAUGUAAUAGAGCAGCAGGAAAUGCUAGCAGAAUGCUUGGUUGUAUAGGGAGAGGCAUUAGCAGUAGAAAGAGGGAAGUGCUCAUGCCAUUGUACAGAACACUGGUGUGACCUCACUUGGAGUAUUGUACGCAUUACUGGAGACCGUAUCUCCAGAAGGAAUUUGAUACUUUAGAGAGAGUUCAGAGAAGAGCUACUAAGCUGGUUCAUGGAUUGCAGGAUAAAACUUACCAGGAAAAGUUAAAUGAUCUUAACAUGUAUAGCUUGGAGGAAAGACGAGACAGGGGGGAUAGAAACAUUUAAAUACAUAAAGGGAAUCAACACAGUAAAGGAGGAGACUAUAUUUAAAAGACGAAAAACUACCACAACAAGAGAACAUAGUCUUAAAUUAGAGGGGCAAAGGUUUAAAAAUAUCAGGAAGUUUUACUUUACGGAGAGGGUAGUGGAUGCAUGGAAUAGCCUUCCAGCUGAAGUGUUAGAGGUUAACACAGUAAAGGAGUUUAAGCAUGCGUGGGAUAGGCUUAAGGCUAUCCUAGACUAAAGAUAAGACCAGGGACUAAUGGAAGUAGUGGUUCUUAUCUGCUGUAACAUUCUAUGUAAUGUUCCAUUAUUAUUUUUUUUAGUGUUUACAUUUUUUGCGAAUUAUCCUCUUAAGUGCAUAUCCAUGGUUUUUAAUUUUAUAAUAAUCCAUAAUAAUAAUUGGUCUUCAGAGACAGAGGCUCUUGAGGGAUAUGCAAAAGAAAACCUGUCUCUUUCUCUUUCAUUUGAAAUCCAGGGCAGGUGGACACAGUCUCAUGUUAACCCAGCAGCUGACAAAAAUAAAAAAUAAAACGCAUAGCUCCACCUGUCAAACUGUGGACAUAAUCUACAGUGCCUCUUGCUGAGUAGGUAGCAAAUAAUCAAACUUCCUACCCUUUUAAUCCAUUGCUGCAAACCCUUCUUAUAAGUGGUUACCCAUACAAUAGUCUUUAUAUUUUCGUAAUGAGUAAAUAAACUGUAAUUAUUGCUGCAAGACAGGUUCCCAGCUUUUGCAGAACUACAGCUCCCAUGAUGCAUUGGCAUCCCUAAGGUUCUAUCUGUUGGCCACUCAUAGUGUAAAUCAUGUACAUUAUUAUUAUUGUAGUUUAAGGGACGUUUCGUAUUGAGAAUGCCCGUGCAAAGAUAUACCUUUUACCUUUUUGUUAUCUCACGUGUUCAAACAAUGAUAGCAAUGAUUUCUUGCUUGUUGCUAUAUUCACAAUGACCUGUUUGACAUAUUUAUUGCUAUUGUUAUCCUAAACCAUUUCAAAUCUGCAUGUCCUGCAAUUACCUGAUUUAAUAUUAGCAUUUAUAUAGUGCCAACAUAUUGCAACUUUACCAUUAUCCAAAGGGAUUAUUAGAGGUAUAGAAUGACCAGAGCAAAUGAGCUUUCAAUCUAUGAUGGUUUCAGGUAGUCGAAUAUGUAUCGUUGGGUAUCUUAGCCACUUACUGGGAUUCAAACUAAGGUGUCCCAGUUCCAACGCAGGGCCUUUGUCCUCCAUAAGUUGCUUUCUAACAAGUCUUCAAUACUUUAAAGCUGUUUUAUACAGAGUAUAAAGUCACUUAAUGAUUGUCUUUCAACAACUAUAUGCUGUUUAACUAAAUCUUCUCAGUAAUGACGCAAAAAAAUAUUCAAUUACUGUUAUUGCAGUAAUUGAAUAUUUGUUUUAUAUUUAAUUUUUUGAUUGAUGUGGAUGUUGCGGAAGUAGUAAAUAUAUGUGCUACUCCUGUUUUUGCUCUUUGUUUAUAUCAUUUACUUGUUCAAGGCAGUUUUACUUUAUUACUUGGCUGUAUUUGCAGGUAUUUUCUAGUAUGUGGUUAGUUCUCCUAACAUGUAUGCAAUUGUUUAUACUAGGAAACUGUAUACAAUCUUUUUUUAUUUUUUUUAUUUUUUGUUAAAUAGAAAUAUAUUUAAAAACCCAGAUGUAUUUCUCCCACUUUUUAAUGAGCAAAACAUCAGAUGGAGAGGAUAUAUUACAGCAAAAUAAACUCAUAAUGUGUCAGAAAUUUUCUAGGUAGAAAGACAUUUGCCAAAAAGUGGCCUAAUCCCAGGAACUAUUGUGUAUAAAUUAAACCGUAUGACUCCUGAGUAAUUAUGAUUUUUAUAUUUAUAGCAAUAAUAUAUUCUGCAGCAUUUUAAAACUGGUUAAUGUGCUUAUGUGCCUUAUUUAAUGUUGACAAUAAUGGUUAGCAGUACACUGAUUAUAUGGCAGGAAACCAGCUGAUCGCAGGAAAGGAAGUCAUUCUGCUUCCUGAAAUUGCAUCUGCAGAAAAAAGCAUGUUGUUCCAAAUGUUUUUAAGGCACAUUGCUACUCAAUGCAAAAUGACCUUUGAAAUUCAAAAUUACAUUUUUACACAUCUGUUUAAACAGUAAUUUCUCAGUUGCAAAAAUAUCAAUAGAAUCACAAUAAUUCUGUUUAUGCCUAAUAUAGGUAGAUUAAUAGUGGACAAAUCAGUAACUUUAAUUAACUUUGUUUCAAGUUGGCUCCUAGCACACUGUAUGAAAAUUUGAAUAUUGUUUUUCUGUAUGCUACAGAUCAGUUAUGGCGAACAUUUUUGAGCCUGAGUGCCCAAACUGCAAUACAAACAAACUUUUGUUUUCCUCAAAGUGCCAACACUGCAAUUAAACAUGACAAUUAGAUACACAGACAUUCACAGAUACACUGACAGACUCUCUCACACACACACUCACUGACCGACAGAGUGACUGAUACACACACUGACAGACGUACACACACACACACGCACUGAUACACAUUUCCCCCAACACUCAAAAAUUACUAAUAAACCAGCCGGCAAGGUCUUGUUCCCCCCAGGACACAAGGCUAAUAAGGCAGUGCCACCAAGUCAAAUGUUUUGCUAGCCUCGCGGUGAAUACACCGCUGGGCACCCUACCGGCGACCUAUUAGUGCCAUCACUGCUAAACAUGCCUGUUUCUACACUGUACAAUGAAAAUAACUCCUGAUAUACAUCCAAUGCAUAUUGCAUCAAGUAGAUGUAGUACAAUAGACAAAAUAAUAAUCAAGAAGCAUUUCUGCAAAACAGAACGUGUUGGCCAAAUAUAUUGAUGGGGAUUUCAUACAAAGCAUCAGCUCUAAUGAAUAGCUUUCUCUGUGUCAAUCCAUGUGUAGAGUAGUUCAUGAAGUCACAAAUAUUCACAGAUCCAUAGAUAUAUGCCCCUUCUCGGUCUCUCCGCUCUGCCCGUGACCUUCUUCUGUCCGCUGCUCGCACCCGUACGGCCAAUUUGCACUUGCAGAACUUCUCACGGGCAGCUCACUUCCUAUGGAAUAGCCUGCCUACCGCCAUCAGACUCUCCCCUAGUCUUAAAAAGAUGCACGGAAUUAGACGGCGAUUUUUACGGAUAUUUAAACCGGAGGAAAAGAAUCAUGAAAAUAUCCCUGAAGAAGUCCUACAUUGUGACAGGACGAAAUGCGUUGGAUUUAUGUAUGGACUUUAUUUCCACAUUGUUAUUUUAUAUUGUUUUUAAUCUGUAUAUAUCUGUAUUUUGGCUGCUCUUUGAUAACCCCUCCUGCCACUUCCUAUUUUGGAUUGAGGACCAUACUGCAUGGAGUUCCAAGGUUACUGAGAGAUAUGCUCUUUGUGCUAUACACACAUGUAAGUGUGACCAAUAAAUUGUGAUUUUGUAUUUUAACAACAAACUUCACUAUCUGUGAUUUCCUUUAUUUCCAUAUGUUCCAUUGAGAGGAUUUUCCAGUCGUAUCACCAUCAUAUAUUGCUCCUGAGUGGGCGAGAAGCCAUAUUCUACGUGUGUUUGUGAGUGUAUUUACAAUCACCUAUAUUUAUAUAUUGCUAAGUUUUUUUACUGUAUUACGCUAUGUUGGAUCUCUGAUUUUUAUACAGAAUCCAUAUGGAUUACAUUUUCCAUCAGGUUGUUGUAUAUUUUAUAUAUUAAUUUACACGUAUUCUGGGUGUUUUUCCACUUUCUUACUAUUGUACAUUGUUUCUCGGGUGUCUGUGAGGUACACCAGGGAAUUCUUCCAGCUAUACGUUUUUGUGUAGUGUAUAUAUAAUCCUUUAUCUAUAUCUCCCCUAGUCUUGCAUCUUUUAAGAAGUGCCUCAAAACCCAUUUCUUUAGGAAAGCCUAUGGCCUCCCAGACUAACCUCUACCUCACAUACCUGCCCCUUGCUCUCUCCUAAAGGGGAGCACUCUACUCUCUCCUCCAGCUCUGCUUCACUCCCACUUAAUUUGACUGCUAUUUCCUGUCCUAUUGUGUUUUAUACCCGACUUCCUAUAGACUGUAAGCUCGUUUGAGCAGGGCCUUCUUCAACCUAUCGUUUCUGUAAGUUUUCUUGUAAUUGCCCUAUUUAUAGUUAAAUCCCCCCUCUAAUAAUAUUGUAAAGCGCUACGGAAUCUGUUGCCGCUAUAUAAAUGGCAAUAAUAAUAUAAUGGGGAUUUGAGACAAGGGGGGAUUUGGAAGUGAUGGCUAAAAGAAGUUCACAGAGAGUUGUAGCUGCUGGUAAAAUAUAAAGGGAAUGAGGAAGUAAUUGAGUGAGACUUUUAAACAGCUGGAGAAGAAGUCUCUAGUGCUGAGAAUAAAAUGGAGAAAUUCAGUAUUUCCUGGCACUAUAGAAUCCUACAGUGCCCCCCUCCCACUGAAGGGGCUGACACCUUCAGUCACUUAUAUGAAUCCAGCACCAAUGUCCCUCUGCGCUGGGUCAGGCUCCGCCCACGCUGAUGUUGGCAGGGGAGACCUACCUAAUGCACAUGCACCGUAAUGGCAAUUAAUGCUUUCCUAUGGGGAUUCCGGUGAUGCUGGAAGUCCUCAUGGAUAGCGUGAGAACGUCCAGCAUCAUUUAGACAACCAAAAAUCGUAUGAGUACCAGGAAGGUCCUCUAGUGGCUGUCUGGUAGACCGCUACUAGAUGAGGAGUUAACUCUGCAAGGUAAUUAUUGUAGUUUCUGAGAAACUGCAAUAAUUAGGGAUUAUUCUAGUUUACAGUGAAUAAUCUAAAUUUUAUGGCAAGACAGGAGGCUUCAUAUUUGCUUAUCUUUCUUUACUGAAUCUCCCAGCAGCAAAGAAAUAGUUAAGAAAGUUGUAAAAAAUUAAACCAAUCAUAACACAACAUAGAGCAAUAUAGUGCCACCAGACUCCUCCCACUUCUUCUUUCUUAGGUGGUACCGAUCAGGAUAGUAGAACCAACUUGUAAACUGGAAACAUUCUGCGGUUUAGUCCGUAGCAAGUCAACCAUGUAAACGGGUAGAUGAAGAGGGUAAUCCGAAGUUUUCAUACUAGAAGAGAAGAAAAGAGACUUCGUGAAAGUAUGGUCUCUUGAAGAAGAGAAAAUGUACAAAUACGCAUUCUAAAACGAUAGUCCAGAGUAUCCUGACUGAUUUAAGCACAUAAUGGUACAAUAUGGAGUAGGUAUGCAAUGCCACCAGAUCAGUGUUAAUUGUAUGCCUACCAAACAAACUGCAAGGAAUGUACAAGUUUGCCCUACCUGUAUAGUAAGUGUAUGCUUACAAAUCAAUUUGCAAGGGAAUGUACAAUGCAAUAAUCUCAGAGUGAGAAUUUACCUGUAGGGUGGGUUCCAGAGUGAACGAAGGGAGGGAAAAUAUUCGCCUCCUGUCUUUAAUAAAAUUUAGAUUAUUCGUUCACUGUAAACUAGAAUAAUCCCUAAUUUUAUGGCAAGACAGGAGGCUUCAUAUUUGCUGUUUUAACGCUCUUGAAUAAAGGAACAAGCCGCAUGUGGUGUUGGUUUAAAAUAAAAGGUGCGAAAGGUAGAUUCUCUUGACUAAUCUGCGGAGGCUAAAAUAUCCUGCGCGAAACGCGGAGGAUGCGGCCGCUCCCCUAAAGGAGUGAGCUCCGAAAGAGCUAUCAAUUCCUGCUUGGGUAAGCAACCAUCAUACCCAUCGUGCAAUGGUGGGGGAGGAGACCGGUUUGUGAGGCUUAACGUAAGAGACAAACAGAGGUCCGGUAGGGGGACGCAGAGAGAUAGUGUUGUCAAUGUAACAACGGGUGCACAGGGCCACACAGAGUGACGGCCUAUCAGGAAAGUAUGGAUAAAAGACUGACGAAGAAUUCGUCUUGUAAUGGUAAAUCUGACACCGUCUGGUGCAAAGGUGACAGCGUGAGAGUCAAAAGCGUGAACGUCUGAAACUCUGCGGAAGGACACCAGACACAGUAGCAAGGCCAAUUUCGCAGAGAGUUGGCAUAAGGAUAAGGCCUCGUUAGGUGGCCAGGAAUCCAACAGUGUGAAAACCUGAGAGACAUCCCAGAACGUAGAGUUUUUGUCAGAAGGUGGCCUCGUCAAACGAAUGCCCCGUAAAAGUCUGCACACGGAAGGGUGUUUCCCAACCAAGAAAUUGUCAAUAGUGUCAUGGGCCGCCGAAAUGGCGGAACGAAAAAUAUUAAUCGAUCGGUAAGAUUUACCCUGAUCGAAGAGAGAUGAUAAGAAGUUUGAAAUGGGAGAGUGAGGUGUUGAAACGGGAUCGAGGUCCCUCUCCAGACACCAGCUAACCCAACUCCGCCAAGCGGAGAGGUAGGUUCGUCUGGUUCCUGGAGCCCACGAGUCCCAGAGGAGUGUUUGAGCUGUGCGUGAAAUACCUGUGACAUGCCAAGCUCCCCUGAAACUGUCCAAGCUACCAGUUGAAGAUGACCCUGUAAGGCGAGAGGAUGGUAAUCGCCCAUUGGGUUCCUGAGGACUCGAAAGGAAUGAGGUAGAAGGAUGGGAUAGUCUAUUGAUAGUUCCAGGAGGGUAGGAAGCCAGGUCUAGGCCCACCAUAGAGGGGUGAUUAUUACUACCCUGACUUUCUGCUCUUUGACCCGAUGAAGGGUCUGUUGAAUCAUCGAGAAGGGAGGGAAAGCAUAGGCUCUCUCCCGUGGCCAAGGUUGCAGAAAAGCGUCGACUGCCAGAGAUAGAGGGUCUGGUAGCCAGCUGAAGAAAUCAUCUGUCUGACGAUUCAGGCGAGAUGCAAAGAGGUCGAGUGUGAGAGGUCCCCGUAGGAAGUGGAUGUGAUGGAACAGGAGAGGGUCUAAUUGCCAGUCGCUGGCAUCCCUCCAAUGACGCGAAAACCAGUCCGCGACUAGGUUGUCGGACCCAGGGAGAUACUCCGCUCAGAUGGACAGAUUUCGGUCCAGACAGAACUGGUACAGGUCCUUGGUGAGGUCGGACAGAAGUUUGUAUUUGGAUCCUCCGAGUCGGUUGACAUACCGCACCACGGAGACAUUGUCCAUCCGUAGUACCAGGGAGCAAUUGGAGGCGUCCUUGGCAAAGCUGCGGAUCGCAAAGGAUCCAGCAAUGAGCUUGAGACAAUUUAUGUGGAGAGCCUGUUCCGAUGGGGACCACAGACCUCCUGUGGAGGUUUGGGCACACGUAGCACCCCAACCCAAGAGGCUCGCAUCGGAUUCCAGAAUAAAAUCUGGUUGAGACCCGAAAAUCGCUUUCCCAUUCCAGGCUUCCAUGUUGCGAAGCCACCAAUGAAGUUCGAUGAUAACUUCGUCCGUCAGAGAAAUGAAUUGAUCGUAAGAGGUUGAGCGAUGCAAGUAGGUUGUUUUCAACCGUUGCAUCGCUCUGUAGUGUAAAGGCCCAGGAAAUAUAGCUUGAAUUGAUGCGGACAGGAGACCCAGAAUGUGUGCAAGGCCGCGGAGCCGAGGCUGCUGCGAAGAAAGCAACUUUUGGAUUUCUUUCUUUAUGUUUUUUAUUUUGGGGUAAGGCAGCUGCAAAGUUGCCUGGACUGAGUCUAUUUGAAAGCCCAGAAACUGGACUACCUGAGAUGGUUCCAGGUCUGAUUUCUGGAAAUUUAUGACAAAGCCAAGGUUUUGAAGGAGAGCAGAGGUCAUGUGCGUAUGUUUGCGAAGCAAAUGUUGGUCUUGGGCCAUGAUCAGAAUAUCGUCCAGAUAUAUGAUGGAAUGUAUUCCCCGAGAGCGGAGUAGUGCCAUGACCGGCUUCAUUAACUUGGUGAAACACCAAGGGGAGGAAAAAGUCCGAAAGGAAGGCAGGUGAACUGCCAAAUUUCGCCAUGCCAGAGGAAUUGAAGGAACGCACGAUGACUUGGUGCGAUGGGGACCGUGAGGUAAGCAUCCUUGAGGUCGAAUCUGGAGAACCAGUCUCCCACGCAGAGUAGGUCCCUGAGAAGAUGGAUACCUUCGAUAUGUGAUGAACUGAUUCAGUUCUUUGAGGUUGAUAAUAGGACGGUGGUCUCCCGUCUUUUUCCGUACCAGGAACAUGUUGCCGAGGAAAGUGUUAGGGAAAGGCGAGGGUUCGAUCGCCCCUUUGUCUAAUAGUUUGUGCAACUCUGAAUCUAAGGUUAGUUUGUCUGUUUGUGACAUCCCUAAGGGUGUUGGAGGGUGGCUCUGAGUGGGGUGUGUGAGAAAAUCUAUUUUGAAACCCCUGACUGUAUGGAGGAUCCAGUGAUCCUGAGAGAGUAGUUUCCACUGUUGGGGAAAAAAAGGGUUAAUCGACCUGCAAUUGACAAAUUUUUUAAAUAAGUAAGGUCCAUUACCUGAAGCAGUGCGUCCGCGCAGGGAUGCAGAGCCACGUCCUCGAAUAGAGCCUCUGGAGCUGAAGAGCUGUCUGUGGUAGGGUCUUGUUGGUCCAGAGGACCAAUGAUCUGUGGGUCGGGGCCUGUAGCCUGCAAAGGCUGCUCUACUGGUAGCUCGGCCCCUGAAACGACCAGCUCUCCCGGAAAAACGAUGAGUUUGGGAGCGGAAGACCCUGCGUAGUGAGGACUGGGCUUUAUUAAGCGUUGAAAAUACAGAGACAUGCUUAGAGAGGUCUCGCAUAAAGCUGUCACCAAAUAGAAGACCAUCUGCUUCUAGUCCCAAUUCCUUAGAGCUUAAAUCUACUAAUUUAGCGUAUUGAAAUUGCCACGUUUGCAUUGCCUAAUAGGCAAAGCGCUCUCUGAGCCCAUUCUCUGAUAGUGUGUGGAUCGAAUUCACCACUAGUGAGUGCCUCAUCUGCCAGAAUAAAAAUCUGGAUUAUAGGACCUGAAAUGUCCAAAAGCUUGUCUUGGGCUGCUUUUAACCCUUGCUCUAUACCCUUACGAGGGUCUUUGCCAGUUUAGUCAAAAGAGUGACCAGCAUGGGGCCGAACUCAGGGGUAGAGGCAACUUUGCCAGGAAUAGUAGGUCUUGGGCAUUCAGCCCUCAAUUUAUUUCUGAGUUCUUUUUCGAGGGGCUUGCGAAGCCACAUUUUGCAGUAACUGGCAAUGUGAUCAGGAGGGGUCCAUUCUGCAGACCGUGGGUGACGAAUCACUCUUGGAUCAAAAAGGGGGAGGCCUGAAGCAUCCAGGAGGGUGUCUGAAGCAGGCUCUUUAGUUGGAGGGGCACCUUUAGCAUCUUGAACAUGAAAGGUUUCCUUAAUAAACUCUGAUGUUGAGGAAUCCUGGGGCAUAUUCACCGUAGGAUCCUCAUCAGAGUAGGUGGUGUCAUAGUCGUUUAAAAUAUGACCAGCUAAUCUGGAAGUAGAGACCUCUAGAGGGUCUGACGGGUUCUACAUAGUAAAUGUUUGAGGAUUUUCGCGGGAGCUUUGCCUUUGCCUGCAGUAGCGCCAUUCCCUUUCCAGGGUCUUUUGCGCGGGGCACUUUCUUGGUCUGAAAGGUGAGAAUCCUCUGAGUCAGAGGGUUGGCGUGUAGAGGGAUGAACCUCUGUAGUAGAUUGCUCAUGAUAAGCUGCCAGAGCUUUGGGAAUGGACUCUGCAAUGGUGGCAAAUAGCCAAUCCCGAAGUUCUGCAGAAAUAGCAGGGUCUUGGUGUUCCGACAUUUUUAAUGUUUCAUUUAUGGGAUUGACAAAGGGCAGAUUAGUAACUACAGGUAAGUGUAGUGAAAUUAUAUAAGGCAGUGUUGAUAAGUGACAAAAAAUAAAUAAAAAAUGAGGCAACUCAACUAGUAUAAUGGAGAGGUGGGGGUCACCCACACGAACUGAAAAACCAGUGGGGGUCACCCACAAUUAUUAGGCACAAUUAAGAAAGGGGGUCACCCUUUAACAAAUGGUGAACAGCAAUAAAACGUAGAUAUAUAUUCAGACAAGUAAGCCCAACGAGGUAGGGUUGCCCACUAUAGAGGACCCUGUCAAACUAAAGUGGGGGUCACUCACAAAUAACAAAGUGGUAUCUGCCAAUUUUUUUUUACAUUUUUUAUUUUUUUUAAUAUAGGCAGUAGUUAUGGUGGAGUUAAGUAGUAAAAGAAAGUGGGGAUCACCCACAAAAUAAGCAGGGUGGUGUCAACCACGCAAAAUAUUGUUGGCAGUAGUUGUGGUGGGGGUCACCCACAAAUGAAACAGAAAGGUGGUGUCAGCCACACAAUUUUAAUAAAGAAAGUUGUACAGUGAAUUAUCACUUUAACAUAAAGGGGGUCACCCAAUAAUUUAGCAGGCAGGACUUGUUGAGCAAAAUAAACCUGCAAUGAUAAGGAGAGAGAAAGAUCAGUGUGUCAUAUGGAUAAUCUACCCAUGGUCUCCUGGGAAAUGGAGUCCGUCACUAGGUAGUUUCCUGACAGGAGGGGAGGAGGGAAGGAAAAACCCGGCGGGCAGUUUCUGUGUGCGGACGAAAUUAAAAAGGAAUAUAAUAAAAGAGGACAUAUUCCAAUUGAAAAGGGAGAAUAAAAGACACUUGUAAAAGAACAUAUUAAAUUAAACAAAAGGUGUUAAAAGGAAAUUAACCUGAGGCAAGCUAAAACUAUUAUUGAGCUAUCUCAGGAUAGGAAAACAGAUAAAAAUCAUCAAAUAAUCUAAGAGAAUUUUAAAUUUAAGUACUGAAGCUAGGCAACGUAAUUGGAAUAGACUCACCUGGGAGGCAAGCAGCAAAGAAAGAGGAAGUGGGAGGAGUCUGGUGGCACUAUAUUGCUCUAUGUUGUGUUAUGAUUGGUUGAAUUUUUUACAACUUUCUUAACUAUUUCUUUGCUGCUGGGAGAUUCAGUAAAGAAAGAUAAGCAAAUAUGAAGCCUCCUGUCUUGCCAUAAAAUUACCGCUGUUGGUUAAGGGACAUGGGACUUCAAUUAGCUGAAGAGGUCUGGGUGCCUACAGUGACCCUUUAAGUGCACAUAAAAAAAGUGUAAAGAUGUUUUUUAUUUUUUUUUUAUUCUGCCCUGUCCGUUUUGUGUUCUGCCAGUGUAUAUUUUGUAUUAAAUUGUCACUGAAUAAAUGAUCAUUAUGAAGAGUAAUUCAAGAAUGCUAUAUCAUGUCUUCUUCCAAGCACCUCUAACUUUUUUCCAGAAGUCCUUUGCUACAGGCUGGACGUAGUCCCUCAUCAUUCAUGGCCGUGUGAAACUACAAGGCAACAAUUAUGCUGGGCCUCCGUUGAUUUGAGGAAUAAAAAAAAUAUGUAGCCCGUGUAGCGCCCUCUGUUGGUAGCAACAGCAAUAUGCACUACCUGAAUAGCAAGGCUGUUUAAUUUGCAUAUUCAGAUAAUUUCCACAUUGCUGUUUCUGCAGGCAGUAGAGAUGUUUUGUUUGUGUUUGUUAUUGUCUUCCCCAUUAUUGUCUUUAUAAAUUUGCUAUUAGGUUAUUAUAAUUUCCUGUAUAUUUUGUGACAUGUUUUGGUUAUUUGAAUUUUAUUAUGUUUGUUACAGCAAUAUAUAUGUAAUGAGCCUAUAGGCUAUUUCCGAGUAAAAAUAAAGUUUUGUAUAUUAAUUAUUUUUGGAACUUGUGUCCUGUGUGGAUUUUUAGGGUGACAGAGUUUUCAGACCUCUUUGCUGGUUGCAGAAUCCCUUUAGCCCUGGGAUAAAUCACCGAUACCCAGCCAGGGUACAGGGAGCUCUGUCACAUAAACAAUAGGAGGACAUUGUAUAAAAAUGGUUAUACAGUAAUUUCCAACCAAAGCAGGCACAAUGCUGAGUCCCAAAAGGAUAGUGGCAGUGGUUCUGUUUCUAUGCUGUGUGAUGGCAUAAAAAGCUAUGUUAGUGAACAGUGCUCAUUGUGAAUAACUCCCACAGAAAUGUCUCUGGAAAUUAGAAAAUCUGUUCUGAGCUUAUUUACAUACUUCACAUUGCAUUAUGGGAGAUUUAUUGACACUAAUUUUUCACAGCUGCUGAAUCUGGGGCAUCUUUUUUUUUUUAAUAUUUAAUUUUGGAUUCUGUACUGUUUUAUUUGGUAAUUAGAAAAAUAAAUGUAUGCGUUAUCCUGAACACCUUAAUAAAAUAGGGAGACAUAAAUCCACAUCUCUAAUUAUAUACAUUUCAGUGAUUGCUCAGUGGAUAUUCCUAUACUAUACAAAUAAUAAUCUGCAUUUGCAAUAUGUCUCUCUUCCCAGCAUUGGUCCGUACCUCUAGUUUACAUGUUUUUAAUUGUUUGUUAUAUAAAUCCAAAUCCUCGUUUUGUUUCAAUGCAUUUCAGCCAUGGAAUGUUGGUUUUUGAAACUGGCAAAUUGUGAAUAUCUCUUUUUGUGUGAAUGCGCAGUAACUCUCACUUGUUUUCUGAAAGUUCUUGAACAUUUUGAUUGUGUGCCAACAAAGGAAACUCACAGCUUCCUGUCUUGCAUCAGAUCUAGCUUGUUCCCUCGGUUUCUCUUCUUUGUCACACUUAAAUUAAACAACAGUCCCCAUACGUAGAUUGUCAGUCAGUGUGUUUACAGCACUCAGUAGGUGAUACUUAAGUAUUUUAUUGUGAUAUACCAAAAAAGAACAAAAUUAAAGGGUACCAGUCAUGCCUCCUGUAACAUAUGCACUUUCAAAAGAGGAUAACAUUCUAUCAAGCAGAUUUUUUAGUAAAUGUAUAGAUUGGGAGAAAAAACAACAACUAUAUUUAAACAGGUUUUUCGUACACCUGUCAGUCCGUUCUUUGGCAUAGACUCUGUGCCGACGAACUGACUUGACAAGGACAAACAGAAGAGACAUCCCUCAGGCAGUCUUCUGCUCUCCACAUAUAGCAACCAUAGUGCAUUAGCUAUGGUAACUCCCAACCCAAGCAUAUCCAAGCAGGGCAAAUAUAAAGCAAACAACAUGGAGGAGUGGAGGUGGGUGUUAUAAGAAAAGUAACACCCACAAAGCUGAAGAUAUGGCAGCAGUAGAAAGGAAGUGAGGUGAAUAUAUCUUAAUAUUUACACUUAAUGCCUCAUGUAUCCCUGUGGUAUAUAAUGUAGUGUGUGUGUGUGUGUGUGUGUAUGUGUGGGUAUAUAUAUAUAUAUAUAUAUAUAUAUAUGUGUAUGUGUGUGUGUGUACAAUUUAAAGGAAGUGAAAAAUGACAGGUUCACAUUAAAUUUAUAAUGUCUAUGAUGACUGAACCAACACUAGUUAAUGUGUUGCCACGACCCUUCCAAAUGAUUGAAUGUGAGACGAGCCCACCAUAGUACAUCAUUGCUUAUUUAUUCAUGGGGAGCAGAUCAAAGAAAGGAAUCCAACUUUCAUUCUAUCUUGUGAAUUAAUAUAUGUAUAUGUGAAAUCUACACACAUCUCCAUUAUUAACCUCUCCUAUAAGUCACAUGCAAGAUACUUUGCAUAUAUGGUUUAAUAAGUAAACAGUGAGUUGACUAUGAAUCUGCUAUUUUUAAGCUUUGAGUACUUUGAGUACUAAAAAAAACAAACUGCUUUUCAGGUUUUGACACAUUUUGGUUAAUCUUCUUCAUUUUACUUCCUGUUCUUUUAUAAGGCUGGAUCUCUAUACUGAUGCUGCUUUAAAAGGACUUUACAUGUUUUUAAACCUCUUAGGGCUGGAUUUGUGUGUAUACUAGGCAGCUGUCUAUAGGUGCCUCUCUACUAGAAACACCGUGACCUACCCUUAUCCCAAAUAUGCUUAACAGUCCAUCAAUCAUAGAACUCAAACUAAUUUUUCAAAAAUGGAAAGAUACAGUUGCAAGAAAAAGUAUGUGAACCCUUUGGAAUGAUAUGGAUUUCUGCACAAAUUGGUCAUAAAAUGUGAUCUGAUCAUCUAAGUCCCAACAAUAGACAAUCACAGUCUGCUUAAACUAAUAACACACAAAGAAUGAAAUGUUGCCAUGUUUUUAUUGAACACACCAUGUUAACAUUCACAGUGCAGGUGGAAAAAGUAUGUGAACCCUUGGAUUUAAUAACUGGUUGAACCUCCUUUGGAAGCAAUAACUUCAACCAAACGUUUCCUGUAGUUGCAGAUCAGACGUGCACAAUGGUCAGGAGUAAUUCUUGACCAUUCCUCUUUACAGAACUGUUUCAGUUCAGCAAUAUUCUUAGGAUGUCUGGUGUGAAUCGCUUUCUUGAGGUCAUGCCACAGCAUCUCAAUCGGGUUGAGGUCAGGACUCUGACUGGGCCACUUCAGAAGGUGUAUUUUCUUCUCUUUAAGCCAUUCUGUUGUUGAUUUACUUCUAUACUUUGGGUCAUUGUCCUGUUGCAACACCCAUCUUCUGUUGAGCUUCAGCUGGUAGACAGAUGGCCUUAAGUUCUCCUGCAAAAUGUCUUGAUAAACUUGGGAAUUCAUUUUUCCUUCGAUAAUAGCAAUCCGUCCAGGCCCUGACGCAGCAAAGCAGCCCCAAACCAUGAUGCCCCCACCACCAUACUUCACAGUUGGGAUGAGGUUUUGAUGUUGGUGUGCUGUGCCUUUUUUUCGCCACACAUAGUGUUGUGUGUUUCUUCCAAACAACUUAACUUUGGUUUCAUCUGUCCACAGAAUAUUUUGCCAGUACUGCUGUGGAACAUCAAGGUGCUCUUGUGCAAACUGUAAACGUGCAGCAAUGUUUUGUUUGGACAGCAGUGGCUUCCUCUGUGGUAUCCUCCCAUGAAAUCCAUUCUUGUUUAGUGUUUUAUGUAUUGUAGAUUCACUAACAGGGAUUUUAGCAUUUGCCAAUGACUUUUGUAAGUCUUUAGCUGACACUCUAGGAUUCUUCUUCACCUCAUUGAGCAGUCUGCGCUGUGCUCUUGCAGUCAUCUUUACAGGACGGCCACUCCUAGGGAGAGUAGCAGCAGUACUGAACUUUCUCCAUUUAUAGACAAUUUGUCUUACCAUGGACUGAUGAACAGCAAGGCUUUUGGAGAUACUUUUAUAACCCUUUCCAGCUUUAUGCAAGUUAACAAUUCUUAAUCGUAGGUCUUCUGAGAGCUCUUUUGUGCGAGGCAUCAUUCACAUCAGGCAAUGCUUCUUGUGAAAAGCAAACCCAGAACUGGUGUGUGUUUUAUAGGGCAGGGCAGCUGUAACCAACACCUCCAAUCUCAUCUCAUUGAUUGGACUCCAGUUGGCUGACAUCUCACUCCAAUUAGCUCUUGGAGAUGUCAUUAGUCUAGGGGUUCACAUACUUUUUUCCACCUGCACUGUGAAUGUUUACAUGGUGUGUUCAAUAAAAACAUAGCAACAUUUCAUUCUUUGUGUGUUAUUAGUUUAAGCAGACUGUGAUUGUCUAUUGGUGGGACUUAGAUGAUGAUCAGAUCACAUUUUAUGACCAAUUUGUGCAGAAAUCCAUAUCAUUCCAAAGGGUUCACAUACUUUUUCUUGCAACUGUGUGUAUGUAUAUAUAUAUAUAUAUAUAUAUAUAUAUAUGUAUAUAUAUGUAUAUGUGUAUAUAUAUAUAUAUAUAUAUAUAUAUAUAUAUAUAUAAAACUUUCCCUGCCUAGAAUACUCAGUCUUAUUUUUAUUUUAUUUUGUUGGGUUAUUAUGGAUUGUUACUUUUUCACUUUAGGUAGAAGAAAUAAUAAGGAAAUCUACAAUCAAGCAUAUAUUUUUACAGGAUAUUUUAUUAUAUUACAAGUGUAAGGGAGGGAGGUAUAGACACAUUCUGGAUCUUAGGGAUCCCUAGCCACCCCUUUGUGUGGAGAUCUCGAGUACAUUAACAGGCUCAGGAAACUAGAUGUUUUCUGGGUCUUAAUAUUUGCACAUGUAAAUUGUCCCAGGAGCCUUGAUCAGAGGAGCAAUAUAACUCUGCUUUGACACUGCAAGAUUUUAACCCUUUCAGUACUGAACACUUAAUUGAAAAAAAAUAUUAGCAUAGCAUGUAUAUGAAACAAUGGAUGCAUAGCUAGCAUACGAACAUAUCAUAACAUAGAAAUUUUGUGUAUAUAUUGCUUCGAAGACAAAUGUAAAAAUUACAAUUAUGUGAAUUUACACAAUUUCUAUUAAUAACUUACACCGGGUUGGAAAUGUUGGUAUAAAAGCAAACAUGCCAUUUUCUCACAUUCAGUAUAUGAACAACAAGGCUUUUGGAGAUACUUUUAUAACCCUUUCCAGCUUUAUGUGACAAAAUAAAUUACUGGUCCAUUACUUUGUUUAUAGGUACUUUUGAUGACCCUGAAUGUAUCUCUAGCAAUUGUGAAAAAUGGCACAGAAUUUGUCUGCUUUGGAGCAUAAUGCCUGUAUACAGUAAAUACAAUUAAAUCAUAUUUUUACAUUAAAUCUAUUUUGAACUGUAGCAAUCUUUCUCAAUCACUGGAAUUCUAAUGUGAGGCUAAUUGGGAAAUGGUAGAGUCCAUUUACUCCUCCUCCUCCCUCCUCCCUCCCUCCUCCCUCCCUGACAGUAAGAAUAUGACCCUUUGAAACUUUGGGUACUGUUUGGAAGCAGGGGGUGAGCUUACAAUUUUCGCAAACUGACAGUCAUUGAUCAGUGAUUCUGGCAGAGCAAUUUGUUUCUCUACAAGCUGGAAACCAAAACUAGAGUUUACAUGAAUGAUUUUUUUUUUAUGGACUAGAGUUAAUUCUGCAAAAUACAUGAAAAUAAAAUGUAUUAGUCUUCCUCAAUUGAAAUGUCCAUUCUUUCUUUAAGGCUUCUUAUACUUUUUAAAUGCCAUGUGUGAAUAUCCUGUAGCAAUACUUUUAAUUCAGGUAAGACGACCUGCAACACCAGAUAUUUAUGACACAUAAUGUGUUGUAAAGUCACUGACUGUAAUAUGAAAUCUCCAUGUGAGCUACAGUAGCAGUUGGUGAUGUUUUUAGAUGGUUGAGCAUUAGAUUCUGAUAUAUGUAAUUGACUCUGAAUUGGCGAGUGAUGCUGCAAGUUAAAGAACUUAAGCAUGCAUAUAACAUGAACAACAUACAAUUCUACUCAUUAAUAACUAUAAAAUUUCCUAACAAUAUCAAUGAAAAAAAACCCCUGCAUUUUAAAAGUUUAUCAAAAGAUAUUAAAUCACUUGGAAAGCGUAUCCAACAAUAUUCAUCAAAGCUAAUAAUGAAAAAAAGUUGUUUUUUUUAAAUGUAGCUAUUGUUUCAUAAAAUACUAUAUUUCUAGAAAUCUAGAAAUCUUUGACCCUCCCCCAGGUAGAAUUAUUUAAGCUACUGUCAUACAAUAUACAUUCAUAAGUAUACUAUAUAAACAUACACAGAUGACAGAAGUACUGUAAUACCUAUGGCCUCCAACCUUCUUUCCAGGAAACUUUUCCCUCCGCCGGGGCGAGCUGUCAUGUCGCACAAAAUGUGAACCAUGAUAGGGGCGUCUGGGAAGGGAGGGUUAUACACACAUUUCCCACUGAUGUUCUGGAACUCUCUGAUUACCUAAUGUGAGCGCCCGAACCUCAGUGAUUUACUGUUCUGAAAACAUUGUGGCAGUGCUGUGGGCGGGCAACGGACCCUCUAUGUCGGAUUAUCUGGGUGCUGCAGCAGCGUUGGGGCACAGAGCCCCGUGAUGGAGGAGUAGGCAGACAGGAGUAGGACAGGAAUCUAGGAGUUCGGUUAAACUCCAGUCAGAAGCCACACCACUGCAGCUACAACAAAGGUAAGUGUCAUUUGUGGCUGCAGUACACUGCACCCUUAGGACACAAACAGGCCCACACACUGCAACCCAGUACACAGACACACUGUAUCCCCAGCUCACACACUGCACUCCUAGCACACAGACAUACACACUAUACAUCCCCAGCACACACACAGACACACUGCAUCUCCAGCACCCCAAGCACACAGACAUACACACUAUACAUCCCCAGCACACAUACAAACACACAGUGCACCCCUAGCACACAUACACACUAUACAUCCCCAGCCCAAACACAGUGCACCCCUAGCACACAUACACACUAUACAUCCCCAACACACACAGUGCACCCCUAGCACACAGACAUACACUAUACAUCCAAAGCGCACACACAGACACACAGUGCACCCCUAGCACACAGACAUACACACUAUACAUCCCCAGCACACAUAGAAACACAUGUAAAAUGAAAUCCAAAUGGCAAAAUUUAUGCUAAAAUUGCCUAUAUGACUAUAGUUGCUUACCUCUAAUCCUGUUUCCUUUCCAACCAAAGUUCUGCUCUGCUCGUAGGAGAUCUACUGCGGCUCUCCUGUGCCAAUCCAAUACUUCUCUCAUAGAGAACCACUGGGGUCUUAUGGUGCAUGUGUGGCAAACUCUGUGCUUUAGGGGUAAGAAAUGUUCCAAUAAAGUUUGCUAUUCAGGUUUCAGUUUGCUAAAAUUCUGAUUUUUGUGAAUAACCCAGCUGCUGUUGUAGGUCAACACCCAGACUAUUUUCCCAGAGUCCCCAUGCGGUGUCUUGAUUUGCCAUUUGUUUUUUGCGUUUACUGCCUUUCAUAUUUAGUUUCUAAUUGCCCUGUCAAUUUCCCUUGUUUUAUUUUUUAUUUUUUUUGUUGUGUCAGAGGAACAAGCAAUCCUGUGCUGCCCCAACAGCAGAUGCAAGAGAUUAAGUAUACAUAGGUCAACAGUGUAGGGCAGUUUAUUUUUUAUAAUAAUAGAAAUACAAGUAGUAAGCAGCUUUUAGCAACAAUAUUGGUAAUCUUGUGUAAAAGUGUGCCUAGCAUGAGACGUACUCCGAUAUGGACAAGGGAAGGGUGAGCAUGAAAAAGAAUACGUCUGGCUACAUGAAUCAAAUUGCAAGCUAUCGUGUAUAUGUUUUAGGUAUAUAGGUAGUUAGACAUUACUGAUAAUGAGUGAAAGGUAACCGCACGCUAGUAAAGGAGCAUACUGAUAAAAAAAUGAUAGAGUGAACAUAACAGUAAUGAUGAUGCCUGCUAACUUGUGCUAUAAACUUCGAGAGCAGAAAUAACAUGAAAUACAAUGCCGGGUUGUCACACUACUGCUGGAUAGCCAGGCUUAGUUCAGGAGUCCACCACAAUGAGCUGAGCAGAAGCGGAGGCCAGGCCUGCAAUAUGUGCCAGAGGGACGUUAUAGUCCACCUGUAUUUUCAGCCAAUACCCGCCUUCGGUGAAGCCUGUUGGGCUCUCCGCCGGUCCAGAGGGGGGGGAGAAGGAGGUGCAGAGACCCUUUGAUUCAGCUCCGGGAGAGCAGCCGCUACCACACCAGUCUAGAUCCAAGGCCGCAAUGGCUGGUGAACUGUCAUUUCGGACCGACAUGGUUCCAAGUUGGUAUUCGUCGGUUUGCAGAAUCUCCCACCAUGCGGUAAGGUGUAUUUUACAGGGUAUCCUGCAGUCUGAAGCUGUUUAGUUUGUGAAGCUCAGGAGCUUGUUCGGAACGCGUCCGCUCUGCUUGCCAGUCACCUGACAUUUCCUUCACUUCAGACAUAAAAGGUUAAGAGCAAAACAUAAUGGGAGAUUGGAAUGUCAAUGGGACAGAUAACAAUUUGGGGCAGAUGAUAUGACAAUAACAAGUGGACACAGAGACACAAUAUACCCUAGAGGGUAAGAUAAGGGGAAUAUUACUGGAAAUCAAAGGAUAGGGGCUUACCAAUCAAAAAGCGGUAGAACAAAGAACAAAUCUCAAUUAAGGGAGCAGAUUAUCAAAGAUGGGGUAGAAAAAUUUAGAAAAUUAGCAAAGGAAGGGUAAAUCUGAAAUUGAAUGAGCAUCAUAGGCCUUGCCUUGCUAUGUCCUGCUUGUGCAGUGAGACAUAACAGUGAAUGAGACUAUCACUAAUGGUGCCUUGCUUUAUGACCUUGCAAAUAAAAGUGCUACGUCCUAGUCAUAUGUAAUUCAGCUGCCCCAUCUAUAAAACACCCCUACAUGAAUUCCUCACUGCUCACUUCUUAACAUUUCUGAGCCUCCGGUGGUCUAUAUAUCUUCCUGACUUUCACUUUUUUUUUUAGCAAUUUGACCUUUCCUAUAUUGCUCAAAUAUACAUCCAUGCAGUCUGGUCAGAACAGUGGUUACUGUUACUGACUACUACAUUUACCUGUUACUUCAGUUUUACUAAUAAUUCUGUUCUAUUAUUUACUGCCUAGAGGUGAGUUGCACCUACACAUUUCAAAACCAUUUCCUCUGGUAUGUACUCAUCUAUGCUUCUGGGUUCCAGCUACCACACAGUAACAUGAUACUCCUUCUGAGAUGGAAGCCAUGGAUCUACUUGUAAUGGAGUAUUUUGAUAUCGAUUGUGGGAAUCUUUAGCUUGGGAUUCCUUUAAUUAGGUAAGUUUUUAUCUAUUUCCUCUACUUACUGAAAGUAGCAAAUGUGGCUGUUCUAGUCUCACAGCCAGUAACCCAUGCAUCGUGCCAUUUGGGCCUCUAUUGAAACUGUUUUGAACACAGCAACUCUGUACCAGCAGAUGGAAAAUCUACACAGUAUCAUAUUGAGGAUUCCAUUGCACCACAAUGGGACAUAAUUGGGGAAACAGGAAGUAACAUAGGGAUUUGACAAUGAGGUGGGAUUGCUGAGGGUGAGUUGGGUGGAGUUGAGAAUUAUAUGGGGGGGAGGGUAACUUAAGUUGAAAAAAAAGGGGCCCAUUGAAGACAUUGGACUUGACAAUGAGAUGGGGCCUAAUAAUGAGGUAAGGGUGGUGCUGUGAAAACAUUGGGGAUCUAGGGAUGAAAUGGCGUUUUUUUCUUUUUCUUCAAUUUCAUGCAUUUCUGUCCACUUAUAGAAAUACACACCAUGCUGGCACAAUUCAGUAUUGGGCUGGUAUAAAAAAAGCACAGGGUUACUUUGUAUGUGAUAUACUUAUGUAGCAUACAAAUAGGUCCGUGUUUAUCAUCUCCUAUUAUUCUCUCUAGGGCCCUGUUUUAUUCUGUGAAUGGGGCAGCUGAGUGUUGUGUCUAUUGGUUGCCUGAGUGUUGCAAAUUUUCCAACUCCAUUGUCCUGCAAACCUGGAUGCUGGUGGGAGGAAGGUAAAGGGGCCAGACCAAUGGUGCGAUUGUUUCCAUAACACCCUCCCCAAAGGGUUGUACCCACCUUGAAAGGGGGCACGUUUGCCCAAAUUAAUUUCAGGUCAGCCUGGCAUGAAUGCAUGCCAAGCUGCCUGUCCAGCAUGCUGGCCGGCUCACUUAGGGCAGACCCUACAAGGAGCACUGUUUCAGUGCUAAUCCUAGUGCAAGUGCGUCUAUUAAUACGCUUGUGCUAUGAUUGUUGGGGACUGUUCCCUGGUGUUCCCAAACGUGGAACACCAGGGAACUAAGGCAGGAUGGGAUUCUUGAAAGGCAUAGUGUUGUGUAUGGAGGAGAGAAUGUUGUGGGGAGGUGGAGGCUGAGUGUGGCUGUGAGUAUUGGAUGACUGUUGUGUGUGGAGGGGACUUAGUGCUGUAUAGAGGUGUAACUAGAAACCACCAGGCCCCCAAGGUGUCUCAUCCCCCCGCCCCCUCCAUGCGUCUUAUUCUCCCCUCAGCCCAGUGGCGUACAUACCGCAGUCACAGGGGUCGCAGCUGCAACCGGGCCCGUCACUCCAGGGGGCCCAGCCGCCCUGCGGACCCCCGUGACCGCUGGGGUCGCAUGUUAAGGGGUCCAUCGGGUGGCCCAUGCUGUCAGGGCCACCCGAUGGAUAUGGAUUGUCAGGGGCCCCGUCUGCGCUGGGCGCUUUAACAGCGCGACCGGGCCCCCUGUGAUGAGAUCAUCACUGCUGGGAGGAAGUGACUCCCCUGUCACUCCUCUCAGCUAUCAGAGCUCGCGCAGGAGGAAACAGGAAGGAGGAGGGAGUCAGAGUGGGAACUCUGACUCCCCUCAGGCUGAGCCCCUACUGGACCCCAUGGAAAGUCACAAAAGGUAAGAAAUCGUGAAACAUUUUGUGUAUGUGUGUGUUUCUGUUUUGUGUGUGUCUGUGUCUCUGUAUGUCUCUGUAUGUAUGUGUGUGUGUCUGUGUCUCUGUGUGUGUGUGUCUCUGUAUGUGUGUGUGUAUCUCUGUGUGUGUGGGGGUCUAUGUGUGUCUCUGUAUGUGUGUAUAUGUAUGUGUCUAUGUGUGUGUCUGCAUGUGUGUGUGUCUAUGUAUGUGUCGGGGUGGCCCACGGAUCAGGGGAGAGAGGGGAGGGAAAAAGGGGGGCCCCACGGAGCAGUUUUGCACCGGGGCCCCAUGGAUUGUGUGUACGCCACUGCCUCAGCACCUCCAUGUGUCUAAGUCUCCCCCCCAGCCCAUCCAUGUGUCUCAUUCCCUCCCCCCAAGCCCCUCCAUGUGUCUCAUUUUCCUCCAGUCUCUCAAUGUGUCUAAUUCCCACCCCAGCCCCUCCAUGUGUCUCACUCUCCCCCCAACACCUCCAUGUGUCUCAUCCCCCUCCCAGCCCCUCCAUGUGUCACAUUCCCCCCAGCCCCUCCAUGUGUCUCAUUCCCCCCCCAGCCCCUAUGUGUCUCAUUCCCACAGCCCCUCCAUGUGUCUCAUUCACCCAGUCCCUCCAUGUGUCUUAUUCUCUCUCCCCAGCCCAUCCAUUUAUCUCAUUCUCUCCACUCAAUCCCCUCCAUGUGUCUCAUUCCCUCCAUCCCCUCUAUGUGUCUCACUUUUCCCCCAAUCCCCUCCAUGUCUCAUUUCCCCCAGUGCCUCCAUGUCUUAUUCUCUCCCCCCAGCCCAUCCAUGUGUCUCAUUCCCACCCAAGCCCCUCCAUGUGUCUCAUUCCCCUAGUCCCUCUAUGUGUCUUAUUCUCUCCCCCCGGCCCAUCCAUGUGUCUCAUUCUCUCCACCCAAUCCCCUCCAUGUGUCUCAUUCCCCGCGUACCUCUAUGUGUCUCACUUUUCCCACAAUCCCCUCCAUGUGUCUAAGUCCCACCCUAGCCCCUCCAUGUGUCUCACUCCCCUCCAACCCCUCUGUCUCAUUCCCCCCAGCCCCUCCAUGUGUCUCAUUCCCCCAGUCCCUCCAUGUGUCUUAUUCUCUCCCCCCCAGCCCAUCCAUGUGUCUCAUUCUCUCCACCCAAUCCCCUCCAUGUGUCUCAUUCCCCCCCAGCACCUCCAUGUAUCCCAUUCCCUCCCCCCAGCCUCUCAAUGUGUCCCAUCUCCCCCCCACAGUCCCUCCAUUGUCUCUCCCCUCCUGUACCUGUUUACCGCAGUACCCGGUCUGACUGGAAGUGCUCCCUCAACGAGCACUCCCAGUCAGACCGCAGCCCGCUUGGCCACGCUACAGAUAGCUGCAGGAGAGGAGCAGCACAUUGCAGCGAUUCCCUCCUGACGGUCAUCCUGCGACCACGCACACUGGGCCGAAGUGGCAGUGCCCUGAAACUAUGCGGCCCAUGUAUAUGUGUGUGUGGGAGGCUGAGUGUGCCUGUGUGUGGUACUUUGGUAUUGUGUUAAGUGUUUCUGUGGAAGGGGGGGAAGCUGUGCUGUGUGAGUGUUGUGGGUGUUGGGAGAGGAGGUUGAGUAUAUAUUUUCCUCCUUAUAGUUUAGCAGAACUAUAUGGGGGGUGUUGAAAUAAUCCCUGGUGGCCCAGAGGAGGGACACUGGGCUGGAUCCCGGGUGGUGGUAUAGUGGGAGACCUUGUGGCCUGCACCUUGGUUGUUUACAGAUGAUCACAAUGAUGUAGAGCGCUGACUGCAGCACUUUGAGUAAUUGAAAAGAGCUGGCAUUGUGAGGGAGAUCUUAAAGUGAUCUAUUCCCGGUAAAAUGAAUCCAGCCAGGACUCACUGUUAUUGACAAACAUUUUAUGGAUUGCUGAUAUAGCUUGAAGAUAACAUUGCAAACAUGCGCUUAGCUGGGAAACAAAAGUAUUUAGCAAGAACUGUCUGCUUUUUUCAAAUCACAUUUACAUAUCUAGAGCACAGUAUACAACUGUGGGAUACAUGCACACACAGAAAGAUGGCAUGACUAACAUAAAGACAGAUUUAAUAACAAAUCCAGGAACAUGUUGAGAAUUGACCUGUGAAAUUUACAUUUUUUUAUUUUGUUUUGAAAAUCUUUUAUUUUAUUGAAAGAUUGAGUAGUACAGAAUAAGCAUAACAUUUGUCUGGCGGACUCGUAGGUCCACUUUGAAAGUACACGUAAUCGGUCAUUUACACGUUUCAUAAUUAGCACCCAAUUAGAUUUGUGUGUAUACCGUAUAUCAGGUAUCGCCUUGAGCUGUGUUGUAAUUGUCAGUUGGUUAGUCGAGGCUUAUAUCAGCAUCAGUCAGUAGCAAGGACUAUGGUAUCUAUCAUGAGGGCUACUUGCAUUCUGUCCAGAAGAGCAGAGUAUUGCUUGUCGCGUUUUAUCGUCAGAAUGCACAUCAACGUGUGGGAGUUACCACCCCAUGUCUGAUGUAAUUGAGUCAGGCGUAGGUCUUAUUCCUACCGUUUUCCCAGUCCCUGUCCCCGGAUGUAUUUUUCUUUCGGAAGUCGCAAUGCUGUAUACUGGAACCGGUAUUUGGCUAAUAUGAGGAGGUGUGGUCUCCCCUAGGUCUCGGUGAGUAGUCUCAUGUCCUGAUUUUGGAUAAUGGAAGCGUAAGGUGGAUGUGUGGUCUCGUUUAGUUUGUGCACGUGCAAUGCAUAGUACAUCGUGUGGGUCCGGUGUUGUAUAGGGGUCCACACUUAUAUAGUCUUGGAGACAUGGUAUCCAGAGUGAGUGUAAGUGUAUGGUAAAUGUCUGAUCGGUUAAAAGUGCAGGGCAGUAAGAGGGUAGGGCAGGAAAGAAAGGGAGGGAGGUAAGGAAAGAAUGGUGGGGAGGUAUCCAUGAGGACACCCCGCCCCACAGCGCCCCCGGCCCGGUCCCCCCCGCCGCCUCCCCAGCGCCCCCCCGUCUACAGGCCCCCAGAGACAUACGCGAACCACGGCAUCCAAGUUUCCGCAUGUUUGGUGGCCCUACCCGUGAGAGAUGCAUGUAUCGCCUCUGCCCCCUGUAUCUCCUCCACCCUGCGUAUCCAUUCUUCUUUGUGGGGUGUGACAGGUUUUUUCCAGUAUACUGGGAUAAGCGCUUUGGCCGCAUUCAAGAGGUGUCGCAGGAUCGAGCGUUUAUAUUGGGAUAUUGACAUUGGUGAUAUGUGAAGUAAAGCCAAUUCGACUGUCCAUUCGGUCAUUUCCCCUAGUAUGUCCUGUAUGGUAGAUCUGAUCAUUUCCCAGUAGCAGGCGAUUUUGCUACAGUCCCACCAGAUAUGCAUCGUAGUGCCCUGCUCCGUCAAGCAUCUCCAGCACGUUGGAGGUAUCGUUGGGAAUAUUCUGUGCAGCAAAGAUGGGGUUUUAUACCAGUUUGUUAACAGUUUAUAAUUUGUUUCCUGAAAGCCUGAGCUAAUAGAGCUCUUGUAGUGCCAAAGUAGAGCUUUGUCCCACUGUUGUUGCGUGAAUUGUGUGAAAUUUAAAUUUUAGGCCAAUGUAUUCUCAAACUUUUUCACACAACAAAUGGUCCAAAUCAGCUUUCUUGGCUCAAAAUUUGACAUUCCCCAGUAAUUUCUUGUAAUACCUGGUGUGGUCAAUAAUCCUGAAUGUGCUUCCCCUGAUGUUUCAGGAUACAGAUCUGCAUAGAAUGUAGAACUUAUUUGCCAAGCUCGUGUUAUGUAAAUGCAUACGGAACCAACUAAGCAAUCGGUUCAUGUAGGCAAACAGUUCAUAUUCAUGCAAGAUGGCAAAUGAAACCAUAAUUUCUGACAAGUAUUGUCUAAUUUAUCAUCCUCUUUAUUAUAAGUUGCAGUGGUUUAUCUGUCAUUGAAAGUCAUCAAGGAUAAAGAAAGAUGGAUAGACAAACAGACAUAGAUAGAUAAACAGAUUUCUAAUACACAAUUGCAUCCUCUAACUGCCCUUAGAAAACAACAAUGUCAAAAUAUGAGUUAUUUAGUUCUGUUUAGUGUGCAUAGUACAUGAAUAAAAAGAGCAGGAAAUGCAAAACUGGCUAACCAGGCAUUGGUGAUUAUAAAAAUAUGGGCUGCAGAGACCUCUAGUGGUUAAAGUAGAAAGGUGAUUGUAUGACGUAAGAUCUUGUAAAUGGUAAAAGGAUAAACUUGAAUAGAAAUGUGUGAUCACUUUAGACUAGGGCUUAACAAUAAAUUUUUCCCUUGGAACCCUUUGACAUGGUAUAGGAAAACUUUGGAACUCCAACAAAAAAAAAUGUGUGCCGUCGAGUAGCGCAGUGCAGGGCAAACCUUUCAAUGAGCAGAGUGUAAUUUUCUCUUUUGCUGGCAAUUUUUUUUUUUAUAUCUGGUUUAAUUGUUGACAAUUGUAUUCGCAUGUCUGCAGUUGCAUCAAGUCGAUUUCGAUACUUUGUUUUUGUUGCAGAGUAAAGCGAGAAUCCAGUUUCACAUAAGUAUGUGCGGGCAAAUGGCAACAGAACUUUGAUUGCCCACUUGGACAAUUCUGGGUAUUCUUCGCCAAAAAGCAAUAAGAG